rnacentral:rRNA from 1 species
GAGGUGAAGAAGGACGUGGCUACCGGCGAAACGCUUCGGGGAGCUGGAAGUAAGCUUUGAUCCGGAGGUAUCCGAAUGAGGAAACUUAAUAACUUCUUACUGAAUCUAUAAGUAAUGAAAGAGUGAACCUAGGGAAUUGAAACAUCUUAGUACCUAGAGGAAAAGAAAGUAAAAACGAUUCCCUAAGUAGUGGCGAACGAAACGGGAACAGCCUAAACUUUUCUAUCAUAAAAUGAUUGAAAAGGGUUGAGGGACAGAAAAAAGCAAGUGAAUUUCUUACGAAGUUUUCAUAGAAAUUAGAUGAAUAACUUGGAAAAGUUAACCAUAGAAAGUGAUAGUCUUGUAAUCGAAAAUUUCUUAUCAUUUCUUGAAUCCCGAGUAGCAUGGGGCACGUGGAAUCCCGUGUGAAUCUGCGAGGACCACCUCGUAAGGCUAAAUAUUCCUGGAUGUCCGAUAGUGAAUAGUACCGCGAGGGAAUGGUGAAAAGAACCCCGGGAGGGGAGUGAAAUAGAACGUGAAAUUGCAAGCCCACAAACAGAAGUAAAACGACUGAACGUUUGUCUUCGUGCCUGUUGAAGAAUGUUCCGGCGACUUAUAAUUAGUGGCAGGUUAAGAUAGAGAUAUCGGAGCCAGAGUGAAAGCGAGCUUGAAUAGAGCGUUCGUCUCUAAUUAUAGACCCGAACCCGGUUGAUCUAACCAUGGCCAGGAUGAAACUUAGGUAAUACUAAGUGGAGGUCCGAACCGACUGAUGUUGAAAAAUCAACGGAUGAGUUGUGGUUAGGGGUGAAAUGCCAAUCGAAACCGGAGCUAGCUGGUUCUCCCCGAAAUGUAUUUAGGUGCAGCGGUUAGUGUUUAAAUGUAGGGGUAAAGCACUGUUUCGGUGCGGGCUGGUAAUUCGGUACCAAAUCGAGGCAAACUAAGAAUACUAUAUGUACAACUAACCAGUAAGACUACGAGGGAUAAGCUUCAUAGUCAAGAGGGAAACAGCCCAGAUCACCAGCUAAGGCCCCUAAAUAAUUACUAAGUGAUAAAGGAGGUGAAAAGGCAUAGACAACCAGGAGGUUUGCUUAGAAGCAGCAAUCCUUUAAAAAGUGCGUAAUAGCUUACUGGUCCAGCAAUUUUGCGCCGAAAAUUUACGGGACUAAGUAAUUUGCCGAAGCUGUGAGAUAUACAUUGUAUAUCGGUAGGGGAGCGUUCCGUUGUAGAUUGAAGUAUCAGCGAAAGCGGGUAUGGACGAAACGGAAGUGAGAAUGUCGGAUUGAGUAGCGAAAACAUUGGUGAGAAUCCAAUGCUCCGAAAACCUCAGGUUUCCUCCGCAAGGCUCGUCCACGGAGGGUGAGUCAGGUCCUAAGGUGAGGCUGAAAAGCGUAGUCGAUGGAUAAUAGGUUAAUAUUCCUAUACUGAUUAUUACUGGUAUCGAGGGACGAAGAAGGCUAGACUAGCCGGAAAUUGGUUACCGGUUUAAGUAAAUAAGGUGUUGAAAACUAGAGAAAAUAGUUUGAGCUGAGUUAUGAAUACAAGAUAUUUAUUAUCAAAGUAGUUAAUGUCAUACUUCCAAGAAAAGCUCGCAAUGCCAUAAGUAAUAAUCACCUGUACCUUAAACCGACACAGGUAGGUAGGUAGAGAAUACCAAGGAGCGCGAGAGAACCCUCCUUAAGGAACUCGGCAAAAUAGCUCUGUAACUUCGGAAGAAAGAGUGCCUUUUAGGCUGCAAUAUCAAGUUCCAAGCAACUGUUUAGCAAAAACACAGGUCUCCGCUAAGUUGUAAGACGAUGUAUGGGGGCUGACGCCUGCCCAGUGCCGGAAGGUUAAAGAAGUUGGUUCGUGAAAGCAAAGCUGGCAACUGAAGCCCUGGUGAACGGCGGCCGUAACUAUAACGGUCCUAAGGUAGCGAAAUUCCUUGUCGGGUAAGUUCCGACCCGCACGAAUGGCGUAAUGAUUUGGAAGCUGUCUCAAGGAGGGACUCGGCGAAAUAGAAAUGUCUGUGAAGAUGCGGACUACCUGCGCCAGGACAGUAAGACCCUAUGAAGCUUUACUGUAUCCUGAAAUUGAGUUUCGAUUUUAUUUGCGCAGAAUAGGUGGGAAACGUUGAAGUUAACCUUGCGGGGUUAAUCGAGUUAUCAGUGAGAUACCACUCUUGUAAAAUUAAAAUUCUAACUUCAUACCGUUAUCCGGUUGAAAGACAGUUUCAGGUGGGCAGUUUGACUGGGGCGGUCGCCUCCUAAAAGGUAACGGAGGCGUACAAAGGUUCCCUCAGAUCGGUCAGAAAUCGAUCUUUGAGUGCAAAGGCAAAAGGGAGCUUAACUGUGAGACAAACAAGUCGAGCAGAGACGAAAGUCGGUCUUAGUGAUCUGACGAUUCUGGGUGGAAAGGUCGUCACUCAACGGAUAAAAGUUACUCUAGGGAUAACAGGCUGAUCUCCCCCAAGAGUUCCUAUCGACGGGGAGGUUUGGCACCUCGAUGUCGGCUCAUCGCAUCCUGGGGCGGUAGUACGUCCCAAGGGUUGGGCUGUUCGCCCAUUAAAGCGGUACGUGAGCUGGGUUCAGAACGUCGCGAGACAGUUCGGUCCAUAUCCGGCGUAGGCGUUGGAGUAUUGAGAGUGACCUUUCUCUAGUACGAGAGGACCGAGAAAGACAUACCUCUAGUGUACCAGUUAUCGUGCCAACGGUACAUGCUGGGUAGCUAUGUAUGGUUAAGAUAACCGCUGAAAGCAUCA